UACCUGCAGCCCGAGUGGUGGCCGUUAUUAUUGGGCCUAAAACGUCCGUAGCCUGUUUGGUAGAUGCCUGUGUAAAUCGAACGGCUCAACCGUUCGAACUGCGGGUAGACCGCCAGACUUGGGACCGGGAGAGUCACGAAGUACUCCGGGGGUAGAGGUGAAAUUCUGUAAUCCUCGGGGGACUACCGGUGGCGAAGGCGUCGUGAUAGAACGGCUCCGACGGUGAGGGACGAAGCCCUGGGGCGCAAACCGG
rnacentral:rRNA from 1 species